rnacentral:rRNA from 1 species
UACGUAGGGGGCAAGCGUUGUCCGGAUUUAUUGGGCGUAAAGAGCGCGCAGGCGGUCGUUCAAGUCGAGUGUGAAAGCCCCCGGCUCAACUGGGGAGGGUCAUUCGAUACUGAUCGACUCGAAGGCAGGAGAGGGAAGCGGAAUUCCCGGUGUAGUGGUGAAAUGCGUAGAUAUCGGGAGGAACACCAGUGGCGAAGGCGGCUUCCUGGCCUGUUCUUGACGCUGAGGCGCGAAAGCUAGGGGAGCAAACGGG